AUUGAACGCUGGCGGCAGGCCUAACACAUGCAAGUCGAGCGGCAGCGGGAAAGUAGCUUGCUACUUUUGCCGGCGAGCGGCGGACGGGUGAGUAAUGCCUGGGAAAUUGCCCAGUCGAGGGGGAUAACAGUUGGAAACGACUGCUAAUACCGCAUACGCCCUACGGGGGAAAGCAGGGGACCUUCGGGCCUUGCGCGAUUGGAUAUGCCCAGGUGGGAUUAGCUAGUUGGUGAGGUAAUGGCUCACCAAGGAGACGAACCCUAGCUGGUCUGAGAGGAUGAUCAGCCACACUGGAACUGAGACACGGUCCAGACUCCUACGGGAGGCAGCAGUGGGGAAUAUUGCACAAUGGGGGAAACCCUGAUGCAGCCAUGCCGCGUGUGUGAAGAAGGCCUUCGGGUUGUAAAGCACUUUCAGCGAGGAGGAAAGGUUGAUGCCAAAUACGUAUCAACUGUGACGUUACUCGCAGAAGAAGCACCGGCUAACUCCGUGCCAGCCGCCGCAGUAACAC
rnacentral:rRNA from 1 species